ACAUGCAGUCGGACGGGAUUGAGGAGCUUGCUUCUCAUGAGAGUGGCGCACGGGUGCGUAACACGUAUGUAACCUACCUUGUUCAGGGGGAUAGCCUCUCGAAAGAGAGAUUAACACCGCAUAAAAUCAAUUUAUGGCAUCAUAGAAUGAUCAAAUAUUUAUAGGAACAAGAUGGGCAUGCGGAACAUUAGCUAGUUGGUAAGGUAACGGCUUACCAAGGCUACGAUGUUUAGGGGAUCUGAGAGGAUGACCCCCCACACUGGUACUGAGACACGGACCAGACUCCUACGGGAGGCGGCAGUAAGGAAUAUUGGUCAAUGGACGCAAGUCUGAACCAGCCAUGCCGCGUGCAGGAAGACGGCCCUACGGGUUGUAAACUGCUUUUGUACCGGAAUAAACCUUUUCACGUGUGAGAAGCUGAAUGUACGGUAAGAAUAAGGAUCGGCUAACUCCGUGCCAGCAGCCGCGGUAAUACGGAGGAUCCAAGCGUUAUCCGGAUUUAUUGGGUUUAAAGGGUGCGUAGGUGGCCUAUUAAGUCAGGGGUGAAAGACGGUAGCUUAACUAUCGCAGUGCCUUUGAUACUGAUGGGCUUGAAUACACUUGAGGUAGGCGGAAUGUGACAAGUAGCGGUGAAAUGCAUAGAUAUGUCACAGAACACCAAUUGCGAAGGCAGCUUACUAAAGUGUUAUUGACACUGAGGCACGAAAGCGUGGGGAUCAAACAGGAUUAGAUACCCUGGUAGUCCACGCCCUAAACGAUGAAUACUCGAUGUUGGCGAUAUACGGUCAGCGUCUAAGCGAAUGCGUUAAGUAUUCCACCUGGGGAGUACGCCCGCAAGGGUGAAACUCAAAGGAAUUGACGGGGGCCCGCACAAGCGGAG
rnacentral:rRNA from 1 species